AGACACAAAAACCUACUUUUUGUCGUUCAAUUUUCUAUCCUUAGACUAGGGUUUUAUUUUCCAAGCAAGUAGACUAGAUCAGUUCUUCACUUUUGUUAGUGUAAGUUUAAUUUCUUGUAUUUUCCAUGAUGUUGUCUUAAGAUUCAAUUUUAUCGCUUUAUUGUUAAUUGUUAUCGAAUUUGCUUUAAGUUUAAUUUAAUUUCAAAUUGCUUUAUUUUAUUGCCUUUAUCACUUAUAUCGUUCUUAUUUCGUUCUUUGUUUAAUUUAAG
rnacentral:lncRNA from 1 species